ACAGAGAUGGACCAAUCCAAGAAAGGCGCGGGGAUUUUUGAAUUUUCUUGUGGCCAAUAGUUGGUGUUCUGAUGCUAUAAAAGAAGAGCAGCUCUCUCUCCUCCACAGACGUUCCUGAAGGCGGGCUUUUCUCUGGUUGUUUUUUUUUUUUGCCAUGGCUCGUACAAAACAGACUGCUCGCAAAUCUACUGGCGGCAAAGCACCGCGCAAGCAGCUCGCUACCAAGGCGGCUCGCAAGAGCGCCCCGGCUACCGGCGGCGUCAAAAAGCCGCACCGCUACCGGCCCGGCACCGUGGCCCUGCGCGAGAUCCGGCGCUACCAGAAGUCCACCGAGCUGCUGAUCAGAAAGCUGCCGUUUCAGCGCCUGGUGCGCGAGAUCGCGCAGGACUUCAAGACCGACCUGCGCUUUCAGAGCUCCGCGGUGAUGGCGCUGCAGGAGGCCUGCGAGGCCUACUUGGUGGGGCUCUUCGAGGACACCAACCUCUGUAACCUGUAAAGUAUGUCUGGUCGUGGCAAAGGUGGCAAAGGCUUGGGCAAAGGAGGCGCCAAGCGUCAUCGUAAAGUGCUGCGGGAUAACAUCCAAGGCAUUACCAAGCCGGCUAUCCGACGCCUGGCCAGGCGUGGCGGGGUUAAGCGAAUCUCGGGUUUGAUUUACGAGGAGACUCGCGGGGUCCUCAAGGUCUUCCUGGAGAACGUGAUCCGAGAUGCGGUGACCUACACGGAGCACGCCAAGCGAAAGACCGUCACUGCCAUGGAUGUGGUUUACGCGCUGAAGCGUCAAGGCCGCACGCUGUAUGGCUUCGGCGGUUAAUUUUUCCUUUAUUUUUCUUCUCAAUGGCCCUUUUCAGGGCCGCCCACUCCCUCAAAAAAAAAGCUGUGACUGUAUUCUUUUUGAGACCAAUGUUUUGGCUUUCUCAGCCACUCUACCUGGUGUGCACCGCUUAUAUAGGCCAGUCGGGAAACACCAGGUUCUUACGUCUGGGCGGCUGCUGAAGCAGUCGGAUUUAAGCAAACGAGAUGUCGCUGGGAUUCCCCAGGCUACUGAGGUUUCCUCCAGCGGAGGAGAAUGUAAAGGGUGUGGACCCCUGGCAUCUUGCAGCAUUAGUGUUCUAUAUUGUCCUACGUUUCCUGUAAGUGAACUACUAACUUUAAUGCUGCGCUUUUGACACAUCAAACAACUUUACCGUAUAGCGCUAGUCCAAUAAAUUGUUCACCUUUUUAGUUUUAAAAAUACGCUUUUAAGUAUUUGUACAAGAGCUUAGGUGGCAGCCGCCUGCAAGCGGGUAGGGCGAUUAAAACAGUCACGUGUUUCCCAGGCACAUCUGACUUGAGCAACGAACGUCUGCACUUUCAGCCUCC